rnacentral:rRNA from 1 species
CUCGUAGGUGGCCAACUAAGUCAGACGUGAAAUCCCCAGGCUCAACCUGGGAACUGCGUCUGAUACUGGAUGGCUUGAAUUCGGGAGAGGGAUGCAGAAUUCCAGGUGUAGCGGUGAAAUGCGUAGAUAUCUGGAGGAAUACCGGUGGCGAAGGCGGCAUCCUGGACCGAGAUUGACACUGAGGAGCGAAAGCCAAGGGGAGCAAAACG